UUAUAAUUAGUGUAUUAGCACAAAAGUUUUUGAUUCUUUUAGUAAUAGUUAAAAUCUAUUAAUAUAAA
rnacentral:tRNA from 1 species